GUAAAAUUUGAGUCUUUUCGUCUUUCACCGUCGCUAAAGCAAAGAACUACUCCCACCCGGCGACUCCCCCCUCUCGCCCAAAUAUGAAGUCCUCCCUCUACGGAGCCCGAGACAUAUCCGCCCCUCUCAGAAGCGACUUCCGCCCCGCGCGCCGUGGCAGCUGUCACUGCUGUCACUUAGUCCGCACUCACGCCCCAUUUACGGCCGGAGGGCUCUGGAGCACAACUUUGACCGGAUGCCGAAUAAAACUCACCGUGAAGCAAGUCCCACUGGAUGAAAAUUUGGUCGUAGCAUUUCUCAGCUGUUCCUGGCUCCCCAAGACUCAACCAUGGAAGGUACAGAAAGGUGUGUGACAAGAAACUUACGGCUUUUAAUUCUGGCAGGAAGGACAAGGAAAACCAAGGAUAAAGAUUUGAUCAAGUUUUAUUAUUCUCCCACUGGAGAUGGGGGAGGGGGAAUCAGUCAUAUUUAAUAAACAUCUGUCUCCUCAUCCCUCC